GACGAACGCUGGCGGCGUGCUUAACACAUGCAAGUCGAACGGAAAGGCCCUGCUUUUGUGGGGUGCUCGUGUGGCGAACGGGUGAGUAACACGUGAGUAACCUGCCCUUGACUUUGGGAUAACUUCAGGAAACUGGGGCUAAUACCGGAUAGGAGCUCCUGCUGCACGGUGGGGGUUGGAAAGUUUCGGCGGUUGGGGAUGGACUCGCGGCUUAUCAGCUUGUUGGUGGGGUAGUGGCUUACCAAGGCUUUGACGGGUAGCCGGCCUGAGAGGGUGACCGGCCACAUUGGGACUGAGAUACGGCCCAGACUCCUACGGGAGGCAGCAGUCGGAAAUAUUGCGCAAUGGGCGGAAGCCUGAUACGGCAACGCCCCGUGCGGGAUGACGGCCUUCGGGUGGUGAACCGCUUUCGCCUGUGACGAAGCGAGAGUGACGGUAAUGGGUAAAGAAGCACCGGCUAACUACGUG
rnacentral:rRNA from 1 species